rnacentral:rRNA from 1 species
GUCCACGCCUUAAACUAUGGUUACUAGGUGUCCGGAGUGUUAACCCUCUGGGUACCGAAGCUCACGCAUUAAGUAACCCGCCUGGGGAGUACGGUCGCAAGACUAAAACUCAAAGGAAUUGACGGGGCCCGCACAAGCGGUGGAGUAUGUGGUUUAAUUCGAAGCAACGCGCAGAACCUUACCUGGGCUUAACAUCCCCUGACACCAGCAGAAAUGUUGGGUUCCCUUCGGGGACAGGGAGAUAGGUGCUGCAUGGCUGUCGU